rnacentral:lncRNA from 10 species
GUGGGCGUGGACUCGGCGGGCCCGGCACUCAGAGCGGCCUGCUGGCCCCGCCUGCCCUGGGCAGUGAAGGGCUUAGCACCUGGUCCAGCAGCUGCUGUGCUCGAGUUCUCGCGGGGCCUUAGCUGCCUCCCCGCGGGGCAGGGCUUGGGACCUGCAGCCCGCCAUGCCUGAGCUUCCCCCCGCCCCCGCCGUGGGCUCCUGUGCGGCCCGAGCCUCCCCGACGAGCGCCGCCCCCUGCUCCACGAUGCCCAGUCCCAUCGACCACCCAAGGGCUGAGGAGUGCGGGCUCACGGUUACAGGAUUCCCAUUUCAGAACUACGACCAUUUGAAAAAUAGAAGAUUUAAAGAUUGACGCAAAGUGCAUGUACCAUGAUACACCAGGUCUCAUCUCCUGAAUAUUUGUCCUGCCCUGAGUUUUCACCUGAGGCCACCUGUACAACUGACUAGAGUAGUUCCACUGAUUGCUAAAAUGGAACAGGCAGGAUUGGUAUUGACUGUCCAAGAGCAAAGUCAGAUACAGAAUACAUCUCAUUUGCUCGUGGAUCACUGUCUUAGCCUAUUUGUGUUACUAUAAAGGCAUUCCUGAGACUAAGUGAUUUAUGAAGAAAAGAGGAUUAUUUGGCUUACAGUUCUGCAGACUGUACAAGAAACCUGGCAUCAGCCCAGCAUCUGCAUCUGCUGAGGGCCUCAAGCUGCUUCCACUCAAAGCUGAAGGUGAAUGGGGGCCAGCAUGUACAGGGAUCGUGUGAUGAGAGAAAGCGAGAGAGAUGGGGAGGAAAGACGACAGGCUCUUCUGAACACCCAGCUCUCACUGGAACUAACAGCUGAGAACUCACCCACUACCUCCGCAUUCCAGGGAGGACAUAAGCCUAUUCCUGAAGGAUCUGCCCCCAUAACCCAAACACCUACCUUUUGGCUCCACAUUGGGGAUCAAAUUUUAACAUGAGGUUUGGAGGGGUCAAAUAUCCAAAUCAUAGCAAUCACUCACAAAUAUUGACGACCUCCAUGCAUUUCUUUAUCAAGUGGACUAUAGUGUAGAUGAUAAUUCCUUGUUCAAGACCAGCUACUGUAAUUCAAUAUUUGGUCAUAUCUCUGCUCUUUUUUUUUUUUUUUUGUAACUAGUGAAUAUUUUGUUCCCUGAAGAGCAAUUUUAAUUUAGAGGAAACUAUUAACUUUUUUCUGGCUUUCUUUCUCAGUUUUUAAAACCAUCAAUAUAUGUUAAAAAAAAUACCAUUACACCAAAAAAUAUACAGUUUAACCUUGUUUGUUUUUAUCUCAAACAUAAUCAGGACUUGUGUGUGUGCCCAUGUGCACACAUGUGUACAUGCAUGCACAUACGUGUGUUUGAUGCUCCUAUUCUCUGAAUCAUUUUUUGUAGAUUUUACUCCUUGUCUUAGGAAUUGGCUGCACCCUCUGCCAUAUUAAUUAAAUAUGAAGUCAAUCUACUCUGGUUUGACUAAAG